rnacentral:rRNA from 1 species
AUACGGAGGGUGCAAGCGUUACUCGGAAUCACUGGGCGUAAAGCGCGCGCAGGCGGCCAUUUAAGUUGGAUGUGAAAGCCUACGGCUCAACCGUAGAACUGCAUCCAAAACUAUUUGGCUAGAGUGUGGGAGAGGAAGAUGGAAUUAGUUGUGUAGGAGUAAAAUCCGUAGAGAUAACUAGGAAUACCAAAAGCGAAGGCAAUCUUCUGGAACAUUACAGACGCUGAGGCGCGAAAGCGUGGGGAGCAAACGGGAUUAGAAACCCUAGUAGUCC